rnacentral:sRNA from 1 species
AGUCAAGGAGCAGAAUUUUUCAAAUUGUGCUAUGAAAAAAAUCCCAGUGCAGUUUUUAAAUACAAAGUCACCAUGAAAACACAGCCACUAGACAUUAUAUAUUCACCGGAGCUUAUUUACAGAAUCAAAGACCUCUUUAGCUCCCCUGUCACUGGUUUGUCUCGCACUGCAAGCUCUGUGUCAACCUGGCAGUUUGCUAAACUAAGAAAACAAACUCAAGAAGAAUUAAA